GUUCCUACGGGAGGCAGCAGUGGGGAAUAUUGCACAAUGGGGGAAACCCUGAUGCAGCGACGCCGCGUGAGUGAAGAAGUAUUUCGGUAUGUAAAGCUCUAUCAGCAGGGAAGAUAAUGACGGUACCUGACUAAGAAGCCCCGGCUAACUACGUGCCAGCAGCCGCGGUAAUACGUAGGGGGCAAGCGUUAUCCGGAUUUACUGGGUGUAAAGGGAGCGUAGACGGCGAGGCAAGUCUGGAGUGAAAGCCCGGGGCUCAACCCCGGGACUGCUUUGGAAAGUGCCUGGGUGGAGUGCUGGAGAGG
rnacentral:rRNA from 1 species